AGACUCUCAUCCACUGCGGCCUUCAGACAGGGGCCAGUCGAGGGCGAGGGGACCUCAACAUACUGCAAGACACAGCGGGGGACCCAGGAGCUGAUUCCAGGAAACACAAGAUCGGAAACCUGGGCAAAGCAGGGAUCCGGGGUCACUUUACAGGGGGAAGCAAGCGGACGUCACACUGACCCGAUGGAGGUUCAUUGUGCAACCUUACAAUGGCGACAUUUACCAUUUACCAUUAAAAAAGGAAUUUAGAUAAAUGUUGAGAAGCUGCGUGAGUUGAAGCAUGUUGAAGAUCCUUUCGGAUGGCGAGAAUGCCAUCAAAAAGCCGUCGGGCCAUGAAGCAGCACAUCUGGCAAAGCGGCUCUGACUCAUGGAGCCCUUAGUCUCUCUAGCGUGCUUUGACCCGUCUGUCACAGACGCAGAGAAAAUGGGCAUGGUCCAAAAAUGUGAGUGAAAAUGAAGGAACUGAUGAACCGUCUCACAGACUGGAUGCUGAAUGACACAAAGAAAUCACUGUGCUCAUUUGUCACCAGCAACACAAAGAAAUUCCUCCAAAUUCGAGGACUUAAUGGUUCAUUUCUGACAUCAUCUCCUGCUACAUGGAAAGGCGAUCAACAUUACAAAGCUGCCCAAGGAACUGUUACCCUGACAUUCACCAAUAACAGUGCAGAAAGUGGCAUGAAAUUGAUCCAGGAAAGACGAGGAACAGAAGCAGGUCCUGUUCCAAGUCGUACAGAAACUUUGGCAUCAGUGUCCUGAUCCUAGCAAGAAUGCUGGAAAAAGACUGGGCUGUCAGAUGGAAGAGGCCUACCUGAAUGACAUGCUGACAAGUUUAUUUGCUAAUACUCCAUUAAUUAUGCGUUGAGCUUCACUGAUAAUUGACAGUCUUUGCUGAAGCCUGGGCGUGUAGUUUGUUGGGUUAUGAAGACUAUGCUGUAUAUUGACUAAUGUCUAUCAGGAAAAACUGAACUGCAACAUUUUUUUAUUAAUUAUUUUGGACAUUCUGUUGUUAAUUUAUUUUGCAUAUUUAAUUAAUUUCAUGUGGUUGCUGUGACAAUUAUUUCGACUAAAUAAUAUGCAUGACUGACUGAUUGUUUCCACACCGCGAAUAUCACCUGUAAUGAUGAAAGCUUCAGGUAGUCUGUGUAGCCCCUAAAUAUUACACAAUUUAGUUAAUUUUUCCAUCUUUUUGUCUUACAAAUGGGGGGUGAGAAUGCAGCCAUCUCUGGCAUCAUUUUCAAGAAAAAGUUUUUGUGCCAACCUAAUGCACACACACAAGCACGUGCACACACACUCACACACACACACACACACACACACACACACACGGGUC